UACGGAGGGGGCUAGCGUUGUUCGGAAUUACUGGGCGUAAAGCGCACGUAGGCGGCUUUGUAAGUCAGGGGUGAAAGCCUGGAGCUCAACUCCAGAACUGCCUUUGAUACUGCAUCGCUAGAAUCCGGGAGAGGUGAGUGGAAUGCCGCGUGUAGAGGUGAAAUUCGUAGAUAUGCGGAAGAACACCAGUUGCGAAGGCGGCUCACUGGACCGGUAUUGACGCUGAGGUGCGAAAGCGUGGGGAGCAAACAGG
rnacentral:rRNA from 1 species